ACAUGCCUACAACAUAGUGUUAAUGCAUAAAAUCCCAUUAGAACUCUGCAGUUAACCGUGCUCGAGCUAGAGUAGUACUGGGAUGAAUGAUUGCCCGGGAAGUCCUAGUAUUUUACAUGCC
rnacentral:rRNA from 1 species